rnacentral:rRNA from 1 species
UGCUCAGGAUGAACGCUGGCGGCGUGCUUAACACAUGCAAGUCGAACGAUGAAGCCCAGCUUGCUGGGUGGAUUAGUGGCGAACGGGUGAGUAACACGUGAGUAACCUGCCCUUAACUCUGGGAUAAGCCUGGGAAACUGGGUCUAAUACCGGAUAGGAGCGUCCACCGCAUGGUGGGUGUUGGAAAGAUUUAUCGGUUUUGGAUGGACUCGCGGCCUAUCAGCUUGUUGGUGAGGUAAUGGCUCACCAAGGCGACGACGGGUAGCCGGCCUGAGAGGGUGACCGGCCACACUGGGACUGAGACACGGCCCAGACUCCUACGGGAGGCAGCAGUGGGGAAUAUUGCACAAUGGGCGCAAGCCUGAUGCAGCGACGCCGCGUGAGGGAUGACGGCCUUCGGGUUGUAAACCUCUUUCAGUAGGGAAGAAGCGAAAGUGACGGUACCUGCAGAAGAAGCACCGGCUAACUACGUGCCAGCAGCCGCGGUAAUACGUAGGGUGCGAGCGUUAUCCGGAAUUAUUGGGCGUAAAGAGCUCGUAGGCGGUUUGUCGCGUCUGUCGUGAAAGUCCGGGGCUUAACCCCGGAUCUGCGGUGGGUACGGGCAGACUAGAGUGCAGUAGGGGAGACUGGAAUUCCUGGUGUAGCGGUGGAAUGCGCAGAUAUCAGGAGGAACACCGAUGGCGAAGGCAGGUCUCUGGGCUGUAACUGACGCUGAGGAGCGAAAGCAUGGGGAGCGAACAGGAUUAGAUACCCUGGUAGUCCAUGCCGUAAACGUUGGGCACUAGGUGUGGGGACCAUUCCACGGUUUCCGCGCCGCAGCUAACGCAUUAAGUGCCC